rnacentral:misc_RNA from 1 species
GAUGAAGAACGUAGCGAAAUGCGAUACGUAAUGUGAAUUGCAAAUUCAGUGAAUCAUCGAGUCUUUGAACGCACAUUGCGCCCCCUGGUAUUCCGGGGGGCAUGCCUGUCCGAGCGUCAUUGCUGCCCUCAAGCACGGCUUGUGUGUUGGGCCCCGUCCUCCGAUCCCGGGGGACGGGCCCGAAAGGCAGCGGCGGCACCGCGUCCGGUCCUCGAGCGUAUGGGGCUUUGUCACCCGCUCUGUAGGCCCGGCCGGCGCUUGCCGAUCAACCCAAAUUUUUUAUCCAGGUUGACCUCGGAUCAGGUAGGGAUACCCGCUGAACUUAAGCAUAUCAAUAAGCGAGGA